UUUUUCCUGUUUAUAAUUUCUGGCAUUGUCAACGGUAUGCCGACAUCCUAAUCUUCCGAUGUACAUUCGACGUCGAUCUAUGAAAUUUCCUCAGUUUUAUUUGGACAAAAACAAUUGUAAGAAUUCAGAAUACAGAUCCCGAGCUCUACUCUUCAGUUGCUCUUCAUAAGUUAGAGUAAGCUACUAUUUCCACCAUCUCUAUUAAUUUCAAGAAAGUCUGAGUUUUCAUACAUACUUUAUGUAUCUUGGUUCCUAACUGGCCGCUAGCGUAAUUUGAAGUGCCGUUGUUGUUUUGGCUACGGUCCUGUUUUUUUCAUCAUCGUUGUGGCUUCGAGCCAUUUGUUCUAAUCGAUUUACAGGAUGAUAAAUCCUGUUAUACGAACAUAGGUGAAGAUAUAAAUAUUCAGGUGGGAGUAUGACUUCUACUGCGAAAUUGAUGUCCAUAUUUUACCCGUCACCGUAUCCUUCAACUAAUGCCUAGUUUCUCAAGCCAAUAUUGUCCUUCUGCUGUGUCACCCCUACACAACUUGACGAUUCCAAAGAGGCUAUUGCUAGUUCAUGAGAAACUUGGAAGCACUGACGAACAUGGUUGCGCCCAGCUUUUGCAACCCGGGAGAUAAUCUCGCCUAGAAGAUCUUGUGGGAGGCUUUCUAAUGGUGCUAAUACUUUGGAAGGUGGCAUUUUUGUUCGUUUUGGUGGUGUGACUUUGAAUAAUGUUGUCUUCGUGAGAUGGGAUUUUAUAGUUAGCUAGUCCUUGACGUUUCAUUACUUUUAAAUUAGAGUAACGAAUGUUAUUGAUUUCUUAGUGUUAGUGGCUUUUAAUUACUAUCAUGAUAGUGCUGAUAGUGGGGAGUCGAAGCGAAAUGGAGGUUAUUCGCUUUGAAUGUGUAAUAUAUCAAUUCUAUUAUUAUUCAGAUGGGCUUGUUUUCAUGAUCGUGGGCUUUCAUCGUACAUUAUAUUUGAACAGUGUUUUCGUUGAUGUAAUCCAACAAGUUUGUUUGAGGUCUUUAUUUUCUGGUCUUUAUAUAUAUAUAUUUUUUU